AAGUGGAAUGUAAUGUGGAAAUGCAUGAUGAUCAUCCAUUGUUAGAAGAAUGUGUUGAGUCAAACAUCACUCUUGAACAACCGUUGCAUCUGAUUUCCCAGAAUAUUGAUGAAACUAUUACCGUUGAUGUCGACAAAUCUCAACCUGAUGAAAAAAAUAUUGCAGCUGUUUUGCAUUAUACUGGGUUAUUGCUUCAAUUUUCUGCAGUAACAAAUUUGGGGGG